rnacentral:lncRNA from 1 species
AAGCACCAUCUAACUCCAGUUUUGAUUGCUUGAGCUUCAGCUGAAUUGUUUGAGCAACUACCAAGGUAAACAGAGAAAGCCAUGAUCAAACGUCCGAGAUGAUCUCUUAACACCCCUCCACCUCCUGCAUUACCUGGGUUUCCUUUGCUACAACCAUCAAUAUUUAAUUUAAAUUCCCCAACACUCGGUUUAUUCCAUCUCACAGGAAGAAUGUAUAGUUGAGGUUUGAUUAUUUCUACCAAUUGACAUAUCCUCGGGAAAGAAGACAUAAAAGGCAGAGAAGGAAAUUUAGUAGAAAGCAACUGUUGCAUCAAGUAGGUACUUUGACCAAUAAUUCUAUGAAUUGAACUUCUGAUACCCUCAUAUUGUAGGUACAUCUAUAUUUCCAUAUUUCCCAACAGAUAAUAGAGGGGAGACAUUGCAAUAUCAUGUCAUGAACUUUGUUUUGUGGUUUGAUGAGCCACCAUCUGAGGAAUUUGGCUCGAAUACCACCAACAGAGUUAAUAGACUUGAAAAUAUUUCCAAACUUUUAGAGCCACAUCACCAUCACAAAAUAAAUGGUUUGUAGUUUUCAUAUUGCUAUUGAUGCAGCAAAUAACAUUUUGAGGGCCCAUGAACCCCAAACCUGAUCAAAGAGUCAUCAGUUGCAAGCUUACCAUUUAAUAAUCUCAUAACAUGAAAAGAUACUUUAAAUGGUAGCUUACGGUGCCAGAUCUUAGUUGAAGUGAAGGAAGAGCCUCUAGAUUUUCUAAAAGUUUUCCAUGCUGAUUUACUAGAAAAAGAUCCAGUGGGGAUUGCGAGCCAAAUAGGAAGAUCUUUCUCUUCAGGAGAAAUCUUGAUAGAUUGAAUAUGAUAAACCAAAUUAGAAGGGAGAGUAUCACGGAGUUUAAUAAAAUCAGCCACCUUUAUCUUCUGGGACUUGUUUCCCUGUUGAACUAAAUUAGCAAGGGCUCCUUUAUUGGUCCAGUUAUCCCACCAAAAGGAAAGGUUACCUUUUUCUACAUUCCAUAAAAUAUGUGCUUCACAGUCUUUCUUGAUAUCCAUUAGCCUUCUCCAAGAGUGUGACUGAGUAUAACUCUUUUUUCUAGCAACUGGAUGAUAUCUUUUGCAGUAUUUAGCUUCCAGGAAGAGGGUGAGAAGAGGCUUUUGAGUUAUGAAAUUCCACCAGAAUUUAGCAGCAAAAGAAAUGCAAAUGUCAUGCAAUGAUCUAAAACCUACCCCUCCCUCCAUCUUAGGAUAAUAUAAAUUCUUCCAGGAAAACCAAUGAUAACUUCUCUUGCUCUCUAUUGUACCCCAGAAAAAACUAGCAUCAAUAUGAUCAAGGGUAGUUUUUGGUGGAUGCACAACAAAUAUGAUAUGUAAAGGAAUAGAAUGCAAUACAGACCUGAUAAGGACUGCUCUACCCCCAAAAGAGAGAAUUUUCCCUUUCCAACCCUGAGUUCUAUUUGCUAUUUUGGCCACCAUAUUUCCAAAGUAGCAAAUUUUCUUUCUCCCAGGGUAAAUAGGGCACCCCAAAUAAGUAAAAGGGAACUGGGAAUGGGAAAAACGAGUGAUGCAUUUGAUGUCUUCAAUUACAGUUGAAGGAGUUUUAGGAGAUACGAGGAAUGUAGAUUUUCUUUUAUUCACCAUUUGUCCUGAGGCUUGUUCAUAGUUCUCCAACUUUUUCAUCAUCAUGGCAAUAGAUAACAAGUCACCAGAGGAGAAGAGGAUGGUGUCAUCAGUAUAUGUGAGGUGAGUGAUUAAAGGAUUGCCUCAAUCCAUAGAAAAAUUAAUAAAAUUAUCAAGUACUAGCUGGUCAAUCAUGUAAGACAACAAUUCUGCCCCAAUGACAAAAAGUGAGUGGGAUAGUUGGUCUCCUUGCUUAAGGCCCCUAGAGGAUUUGAAAAGCACAUGUCUCACUCCAUUGACAUUGAUGAAGUACCAAUUGUUUGAGAUCAAUCUUGCAACCAUAUCAAUCCAACAUUCAGAAAAGCCUAAUUGCCUCAUGGUUGGACAGAGGUACUCCCAAGGAACUUUGUCAAAGGCCGUUGCCAUGUCUAGCUUAAAAACUACAUUACCAUUGACAUUGGGCCUAUUCAAGUUAUGAAUAAGUUCUUGAGUAAGCAUGACAUUAUCUGAGAUUGACAUACCUUUAAGGAAACCAAUUUGGUUUGGAGAAAUAAUCCUGUUUAUAAGAGGGGCUAGCCUACUGUUAAGCAACUUUGAGAUAAUUUUGGAAGUGAAGUUGCUUAGACUAAUAUGCCUAAAAUCAGUGAAUUGUUGCGGGCUAUCAGUUUUAGGGAUAAGGACAAGGCAUAUAUGAGUGAAUGAUCUAGGAAAUGGUUGCCCAGAGAAGAAUUCCAAAACCACCUGAUAGAGAUCAGCAAAAAUUAUAUUCCAGCAGUAUUGAAAGAAUUUUUCAGAAAUGCCAUCGGGGCCAGGCGAGCUGCUACUAUCCAUGGAGAAUACUACCUGUUUCAGUUCAUCCAUGAUAGGGAGUGCCUCUAAAACCAAGUUAUCUUCUUCAUUUAUUACUCUAUUAAGCCCCCUAAGCUUUGAAAAAUCUCUGCAAGUAUUUUCUUGUGGGAACUGCUGCUCAAAAAAGUUAAUAGCUUCAGUAGCUAUAUCAUCUUUGUUCUCAAUCCAGGUACCAUCUUGCUUCUUGAUUCUUGUAAGUUGUAAUUUUUUCCUUCUAGAAUUAAUUACAGAGUGAAAGAAACUAGUGUUAUUGUCACUAUCCGUAAACUACUUCAAGCCAACUUUUUGUCUCCACAAUGACUCUUUAUUUUUAUGUGCCUAAUCAACUGUGCAUUCACAUUAUUGUAUUACAUGCUAUUGCUUUCAGAAUUGUCAUUUAGACAUCUUUCCUCUAAUACCUCAAGCAUAUUCUGCAAUUCCUUGGUCUUAUAAAAAAUAUUCUCAAUAGAAUUCUUGGACCAAAAGGAAAGACUUUUACAGACAUUUUUUAGCUUGAGAUGAAAUCUCCACGUAGGGCCUCCUUCUACUUGUAGUUUCCAGGCUUGUUCCACCAAAUGCAUAAAACCCUCUUGUUCAGUCCAAAGAUCUAAGAAUCUGAAAUACUUUUUAGGCUCCAAUUGUGGAUUAGAAGUGGAGACAAGCAAAGGAGCAUGAUCAGAGCCAGUUCUGACCAAGUGUGUGACAGAGGUAUCUACAAAAUUCUGUAACCAUUCCGAGUUAACAAAAGCUCUAUCCAGUCUCGUCCAUAUCCUCUUAGUAGGUGCCCAGCCAUUACACCAGGUAAAAGGACUUCUAGUGUAACCAAGAUCCAAAAGGCCACUAUCCACAAUGCAAUUGAUGAAGGGCAAGCUUUUAGGCAUAUUGUGGAUUUUCCCCCUUUUUUCUCCUGAGGAUCAGUAAUAGCGUUAAAAUCCCCAAUCACCAUCCAUGGAGAGCUAACUCCAUUAGAAAAAGAUUUGAUGUUAUCCCACAGAGGCUCUCUGAGAUGAGCUUUGCAUUUAGCAUACACGUCAUGUAUAAAGUCUCCCCAUUAUUAUCAAUUGAGCAAUUGAUAAGUUGAGGAAGGUCUUCAAUAACAAUACAGUUGAUAGAGCUAUCACCAAAGAACCAGAUUUUAUUCUUGCAAUUAGUAUAUGCAAAAUCAAACCUAAGUCCUCUUCUAAAUUUCUCUAACUUUUUUCUUCUACAGAAAGGUUCUAUGAUAGCAAUGAAUAAAAGGUUGUGAUUUCUUUUAAGUUGCUUAACUCUGUCAAAGGCACCUUGUGAAGUGAUGCCUCUAAUAUUCCAAAUAAGAGACUUAAUCAUUAAAAAGAUGUAGAUUGAUCAUCAUUGUCCUGUGAAAAUUUCACAGGAGGAAUGCCUUUGCCUCUUCUAUUACCUAUGAUGUCCCUAAAGGUGAGUCCACCUCAGGUUAAUGAGAGUCCACCUCUGGUUAUCUCAUGCCCCCUGGGUGAGAGGUGGUGUCUAUCAGUUACAUCUCCAAAGGCUUGAACAAUUUCAUCUAGUGGUGGUGAUUGAUGUGAGAAAGCUUCUAGUAAUCUGUUAGCAUGAUCAUAACUGGUAGCUGAUUGAGCAUCAAGACUUUCUUCACUUUCAGACUAAUCUUCAACGCUUUCAAAGUCAUUCUCAGAAUCACUAACAACUUGAUCAUUUUCAGCAAUUUCUGAAUCUUCCCCUUCAAAUUCAGAAUCUACAUCAUUUAUAACAUCCAGCUCUAAUUCAUCACUACUCUUUGAGGGAACAGCGUGGUUAAUAAGAUUGUUAGCUGGUGGAGGGGAUUCGGAGGUUGAUUGUUAGGAGGAUGAGGGUUUGGAGGCUCUUGAGAAGUGUGGUUUGUGUGCGCAUUUUCUGUCUGGUUUCCUAGUAGUGGAGGCCUAAUUUGUGUUGUCUUUUGGAUUUUAGGAACUAAGGUGGGUAUAUUUUGUUGUUUUGGAACAACAGAAGUAGAGACGAUAUCAGAUUGGUGUUUUGGCUUGGUAGUACUAUUAGGGAGCAUCUGAGAACAUUUCUUAAUGGAAGACUGCACAUUAGGGCUGGUCUGAGCUGUUGUGCUUUGAGGUUUAUUAGGCUUUGCAUUUGGAUUAACUUGGCUUGUCUCAAUGGUUAGUGGAGAUGGUUGUUUUAUGCUAUGAUGGUGAUGAGUAUUAGUCUGUUUUUUGCUCUGAUUAACUUGCCAUUGCACUCUUUUCUUUGGUUCAUUCUUGUGCUUCAAUGCAUGGUGCAAUUGGGCUAUAUGUUCAACUGGAUUAUUCUUGUCCAAAACUUUUUUCUGUUUGUCCUGCGUUCCAUCAUUUGUUAGCUGUAUAGUUGGUUGAUUUGCCCUCUCUGAUUGUGAAUUUUUCCCUGUGAGAAUGACUUCCCGAUGAGGUUGUUGUGGUAGCAUAUUCAAGUUAGUAUUCCCGAUUGUGUGUUGAUGUAAUUUCGUGUUUCCUCUUUGAACUCUCCAUUGAUCAUCAAUCUCCUCAGUGUUGGCUGAGGCUUGAGCCUGAAAUUUUUCAUCUCUUUUCUUAUUUCUGCAGGAGAGUAGAUCGUGACCUUGCAUACAAUAAUAUUGGCAGUAUGAUGGGGUACCCUCGUAUUCGAUAUCUAACCAGCAUCUAUCUUCCUCAUUACUAUC